GAUAAUAUGACGUCGUCGCGCCGGCCUGCCGUUGAUUGGUGAUCACGUCUUAGCGGCGACUCGCGAGAAAGAUGAAGACAAUUGUCUGCUGUUUUUCCCUUCCUGAGGAUCUGAACUGGAUGGAUGUAAUUUUUUCAGCCCUUUAUGUUACUUUUUGAGUCUGUUGCCAUAGCGACACAUUCGUCUUCAGUGAAGCUGUAUACACAGAAUGAUGCUCCCAAAAAUUCAAGUUCCACUACACAUACAGAAGGGCUCAGUUACAUAUCCUACCAGUUGUCGUGGUAACAUUUUUCAAUUAGGAUUUUUGGAGUACUGAGAGAUUUGGGAUACAGGGGGUAACUCCUAAAGAAUUCUAUCUACCUCAUGUGGAUGACCUGGAUGUGUGUGGCCACCAUGAAAAUGCCUGAGGAAGGGUCCAUUCUGGACCACAAACAUGUUGUCCCAUAUAGUUGUUAUGAUUGUGUCCAG